UUAAGCGAAGAAGAGCGCAGGGUGGAUGCCUUGGCACUGAGAGCCGAUGAAAGACGUGAUAAGCUGCGAAAAGCCAUGGGGAGGUGCAAAUGACCCUUGAUCCAUGGAUAUCUGAAUGGGGAAACCCACAUGAGCAUACCUCAUGUGGCCUGUACUGAAUCCAUAGGUGCAGGCCGGGAACCCGGUGAACUGAAACAUCUAAGUAGCCGGAGGAAGAGAAAGAAAAUAUUCGAUUUCCAAAGUAGCGGCGAGCGAAAUGGAAAGAGCCCAAACCGGUGUGCGUGCACACCGGGGUUCGGACUGCAUGACUGAUCCACGAUCCCAGCAGAACGGUACUGGAAAGACCGGCGGCAAAGGGUGAGAGCCCCGUAAGCGAAGGGAGAAGGGACAGGGCAGUAUCCAGAGUACCACGAGACACGAGAAACCUUGUGGGAAUGAGCGGGGACCACCCCGUAAGGCUAAAUACUACUCAGUGACCGAUAGAGCAUAGUACUGUGAAGGAAAGGUGAAAAGGACCCCGGGAGGGGAGUGAAAGAGAACCUGAAACCCUGUGUUUACAAGCUGUGGAAGUACUCUAUAUGUACGACCGCGUACUUUUUGUAGAACGGUCCGGCGAGCUGCGGAUGCUGGCGAGGUUAAGCACUGAAGGUGCGGAGCCGAAGGGAAACCAUGUCUGAACAGGGCGUUUUUAGUCAGUAUACGCAGACCCGAAACCGGGUGAUCUAUCCAUGUCCAGGAUGAAGUUGCCGUAAAAGGCAGUGGAGGUCCGAACGCACAUCCGUUGAAAAGGGUGGCGAUGAGGUGUGGAUAGGGGAGAAAUUCCAAUCGAACCCGGAGAUAGCUGGUUCUCCUCGAAAUAGCUUUAGGGCUAGCCUCGUGAGAGUCAGGCGGAGGUAGAGCACUGAAUACCCGAGGGGGCGUCAAAGCUUACCAAAGGUUAUCAAACUCCGAAUGCCGCGCUGAUGCUUCACGGGAGUCAGACUACACGAGAUAAGUUGGGUGGUCAAAAGGGAAACAGCCCAGACCUGCAGCUAAGGUCCCAAAGUGCGUGUUAAGUGGAAAAGGAUGUGGGAUUUCGAAGACAACCAGGAUGUUGGCUCAGAAGCAGCCACACAUUCAAAGAGUGCGUAAUAGCUCACUGGUCGAGAGGUCCUGCGCCGAAAAUGUCCGGGGCUCAAACACGCCACCGAAGCUCAGGAAUGUAUUUAUACAUUGGUAGAGGAGCAUUGUCAGUGCAUCGAAGCUGUACCGGUAAGGAGCAGUGGAGCGCUGAGAAGAGAGAAUGCCGGAAUGAGUAGCGAGAAAGAGGUGGGAAUCCUCUUGGCCGAAUAUCCAAGGAUUCCGGGGUAAAGCUGAUCUGCCCCGGGUAAGUCGGGACCUAAGGCGAGGCAGAAAUGCGUAGCCGAUGGACAGCAGGUGGAGAUUCCUGCACUGCCAUAUAUCAGAAAUGUGGGGACGCAUCAGGAAAGUGUGGGCCGGGAAAGGAAAGACCGGUGCAAGCGGAGGAGGGGACAUGCAGGCAAAUCCGCAUGUCAACCCAAGAGCGUUAUGCGGAGCGAAGAAUAGUAGCGAAGCACACGGACAGGGUGCCGAGAAAAGCCGCUAUCGUGUAUAUGGUACCCGUACCGUAAACCGACACAGGUGGAUGAGGAGAGAAUCCUAAGGCCGGCGGGAGAAGCAUUGUUAAGGAACUCGGCAAAAUGGCCCCGUAACUUAGGGAUAAGGGGUGCCACAGUGAUGUGGCCGCAGAGAAUAGGCUCAAGCAACUGUUUAGCAAAAACACAGGUCUAUGCGAAACCGAAAGGUGAGGUAUAUGGGCUGACGCCUGCCCGGUGCUGGAAGGUUAAGAGGAGAGGUCAGGAAACGAAGCCUUGAAUUGAAGCCCCAGUAAACGGCGGCCGUAACUAUAACGGUCCUAAGGUAGCGAAAUUCCUUGUCGGGUAAGUUCCGACCCGCACGAAAGGCGUAAUGAUUUGAGCGCUGUCUCGACAAUGCACCCGGUGAAAUUGAAGUACCAGUGAAGAUGCUGGUUACCCGCGCCAGGACGGAAAGACCCCAUGGAGCUUUACUCCAGCUUGAUACUGGGAUCCGGUGUCCAAUGUACAGGAUAGGUGGGAGGCUGAGAGCCAUGAACGCAAGUUUAUGGGGAGCCGCUGUUGGGAUACCACCCUUUGGGUACUGGAUUUCUAACCUGCGCCCGUGACCCGGGCGGGGGACAAUGU
rnacentral:rRNA from 1 species